GCAAGUCGAACGAGAACGGAUAUAAGUUUACUUAUAUUGUCAGCUAAGUGGCGCACGGGUGAGUAAUAUAUAGUUAACCUGCCUUCUAGAAGAGAAUAAUUGUUGGAAACGACUUGUAAUGCUCUAUAUGCCUUUAUGACAUAAGUCAGCAAGGGAAAUGCUUUUGUGCUAGAAGAUGGGACUGUACGGUAUCAGAUAGUUGGUGAGGUAAUGGCUCACCAAGUCAAUGACGCCUAACUGGUUUGAGAGGAUUAUC
rnacentral:rRNA from 1 species